rnacentral:tRNA from 1 species
GCCGAAGUGGCGAAAUAGGCAGACGCACUAGGUUCAGAUCCUAGUCCUGGUCAAACAGGGUGGAGGUUCGAGUCCUCUCUUCGGUA